GGGGAUGAUCGGCUUCGAUAGACGGAGCUGUCUAUAUAUGCAUGCCGAGGUUUCAACCCUCGUAAAAAAGAGCACAAUUAAGUGCAAAUGAUGUAGUUAAGAAGGCAGAGGAAGAGAUGAAUAAAGUAGUCAACUCCUUUGCCCCUCAAACUGCUGUCGCGUAAGCGCAGGAGUUCAUCGCAUCCGUGACGCUCGAUAGCGGACCUGCGGUGCCAUAAUAAUCGAGCUUAGAUCUAUGCGUAGUGUUAGCGUACAGAUCGAAAUCCCCAAAUUAGCACUUACUGCAAUAGUUUUUAGUUGCUUUCAGAUUAUUGUAGGAAACCAAAAAGUAACUAAGCAUGUAGAUUAUAUGGAUAUCUCCGUCUACACCCGGGUUCAAUUCCCGGCAUCUCCACUG
rnacentral:tmRNA from 1 species